GUCUACAGCCAUGCCAUCCUGAACAAGCCCGAUGUCUGAUCUCAGAAGUUAAGCAGGGUCAGGUCGGGUUAGUAGUUGGAUGGGAGACCACCUAGGAAGACCAGGUGCUGUAGGCA
rnacentral:rRNA from 1 species